rnacentral:rRNA from 1 species
AGUGAACGCUGGCGGUAGGCCUAACACAUGCAAGUCGAACGGCAGCACAGUAAGAGCUUGCUCUUACGGGUGGCGAGUGGCGGACGGGUGAGGAAUACAUCGGAAUCUACUUUUUCGUGGGGGAUAACGUAGGGAAACUUACGCUAAUACCGCAUACGACCUACGGGUGAAAGCAGGGGAUCUUCGGACCUUGCGCGAUUGAAUGAGCCGAUGUCGGAUUAGCUAGUUGGCGGGGUAAAGGCCCACCAAGGCGACGAUCCGUAGCUGGUCUGAGAGGAUGAUCAGCCACACUGGAACUGAGACACGGUCCAGACUCCUACGGGAGGCAGCAGUGGGGAAUAUUGGACAAUGGGGGCAAGCCUGAUCCAGCCAUGCCGCGUGGGUGAAGAAGGCCUUCGGGUUGUAAAGCCCUUUUGUUGGGAAAGAAAAGCGGCAGGUUAAUACCCCGCUGUUCUGACGGUACCCAAAGAAUAAGCACCGGCUAACUUCGUG